rnacentral:rRNA from 1 species
AGUGAACGCUGGCGGUAGGCCUAACACAUGCAAGUCGAACGGCAGCACAGUAAGAGCUUGCUCUUACGGGUGGCGAGUGGCGGACGGGUGAGGAAUACAUCGGAAUCUACUUUUUCGUGGGGGAUAACGUAGGGAAACUUACGCUAAUACCGCAUACGACCUACGGGUGAAAGCAGGGGAUCUUCGGACCUUGCGCGAUUGAAUGAGCCGAUGUCGGAUUAGCUAGUUGGCGGGGUAAAGGCCCACCAAGGCGACGAUCCGUAGCUGGUCUGAGAGGACGAUCAGCCACACUGGAACUGAGACACGGUCCAGACUCCUACGGGAGGCAGCAGUGGGGAAUAUUGGACAAUGGGCGCAAGCCUGAUCCAGCCAUACCGCGUGGGUGAAGAAGGCCUUCGGGUUGUAAAGCCCUUUUGUUGGGAAAGAAAAUCAGUAGGUUAAUACCCCGCUGUUCUGACGGUACCCAAAGAAUAAGCACCGGCUAACUUCGUG